UGGAUGAAAUAUGAAGUUUUAUUAAAAGAAAAAGGGGUGAAAAGAACAAAGUUUUGUCCAUCUUUGUUCAUCAUAGCUGAAAGUUAGAGAAGAGAAAGGAGAGGAGAAAGCUUUUGAGUAUUCGGUCAUUAGGAGGAGGAAAAUUGAAGGUAAUCCCCAACCAUAGUGGGCUUGGAGCUGUGAGGGAAUUCGGAGUGGCCACCCGUUCUGAAAGUUUGAUUUUCUUUAUUACGUUUGAGGUUUUGGGCUUUUAAAUGUAAUAAGGCCGCUUAUUUAUUUUUGAUGGUUUUUAAUAUGUAUUACUAAGAUAGGUAAUACUUAUUUUAACUGUUGAAAUUGGAUAGCUUUAGGGCGCGUUUUCAAAAACAACAGUUGAUUUCAAAAUAACACGACAACAAGCAAAGCUUCCGCAAUGAAAGUAUUUUCCAAAAUUAA